GGGCCUAUCGUAUAGUGGUAGUACAUCGGUCUCCAAAACCGACAGCCCAGGUUCGAUCCCUGGUGGGCCCGCAA
rnacentral:tRNA from 1 species